rnacentral:rRNA from 1 species
AUUGAACGCUGGCGGCAUGCUUUACACAUGCAAGUCGAACGGCAGCACGGGGGCAACCCUGGUGGCGAGUGGCGAACGGGUGAGUAACGCAUCGGAACAUGCCCAGUAGUGGGGGAUAACGCGUCGAAAGAUGUGCUAAUACCGCAUACGCACUACGGUGGAAAGCGGGGGAUCGCAAGACCUCGCGCUAUUGGAGUGGCCGAUGUCCGAUUAGCUAGUUGGUGGGGUAAUGGCCUACCAAGGCGACGAUCGGUAGCUGGUCUGAGAGGAUGAUCAGCCACACUGGGACUGAGACACGGCCCAGACUCCUACGGGAGGCAGCAGUGGGGAAUUUUGGACAAUGGGCGCAAGCCUGAUCCAGCCAUGCCGCGUGAGUGAAGAAGGCCUUCGGGUUGUAAAGCUCUUUCGGCCGGAACGAAAUCGUCCGGGCUAAUACCCCGGAUGGAUGACGGUACCGGAAGAAGAAGCACCGGCUAACUACGUGC